rnacentral:rRNA from 1 species
CGACCAGCUUGCUGGUCUGAUCAGUGGCGAACGGGUGUAGUAACACGUGAGCAACCUACCCUUCACUCUGGGAUAAGCCUUGGAAACGGGGUCUAAUACCGGAUACGAGACGCACGGGCAUCUGUAGCGUCUGGAAAGAUUUAUCGGUGGGGGAUGGGCUCGCGGCCUAUCAGCUUGUUGGUGGGGUAAUGGCCUACCAAGGCGACGACGGGUAGCCGGCCUGAGAGGGCGACCGGCCACACUGGGACUGAGACACGGCCCAGACUCCUACGGGAGGCAGCAGUGGGGAAUAUUGCACAAUGGGCGCAAGCCUGAUGCAGCGACGCCGCGUGCGGGAUGACGGCCUUCGGGUUGUAAACCGCUUUCAGCAGGGAAGAAGCGCAAGUGACGGUACCUGCAGAANAAGCGCCGGCUAACUACGUGCCAGCAGCCGCGGUAAUACGUAGGGCGCAAGCGUUGUCCGGAAUUAUUGGGCGUAAAGAGCUCGUAGGCGGUUUGUCGCGUCUGCUGUGAAAACCUCAGGCUCAACCUGGGGCUUGCAGUGGGUACGGGCAGACUAGAGUGCGGUAGGGGUGACUGGAAUUCCUGGUGUAGCGGUGGAAUGCGCAAAUAUCAGGAGGAACACCGAUGGCGAAGGCAGGUCACUGGGCCGCAACUGACGCUGAGGAGCGAAAGCAUGGGGAGCGAACAGGAUUAGAUACCCUGGUAGUCCAUGCCGUAAACGUUGGG